AAUUCUAUCUCAGGAGUCCCAGUUUUAAUAAUUACAUAUCAUGCUUUAGGUGGGGAAAACAACCAAAAAGUUAAGAUUGCCUACUGUAACUUCAUGUUCAGCGUUUUAAAUUUAGUUUAUUAUUUCCUAAUUUCAUUGAUUUUCUGACAUUUAUCUAUUUGUCUAUCUACUGGAACACCCACACACUCAUCUACUAUAUAUACAUCUGGCUCGACACGGCUGCCUGAGUUUGUCCUACCUGGGUAACCUAGUUUUCCCUUCCCACCUUUCCAUCUCUCAUCUGUUCAAGAUGUUGUAUAAUCCAACCCGUUCUCUACAUCUCCCCGCUCACCAGCAUGAAAUCCUCUCCUUCCCUCCAACACCUGCAGUCUUUCAUAUUGCUGUCAUCAACUUCCCAUGUAUGUACGUCUUCCUCGCCAUUCUCAGAACGUCACGCUGCAUAAAUACUUCUGAUUUAACUCGUGGUUACUGCCCAUGAAUUAUUGAGAACAGAGUGCAUCCUGAGUAAAUCUUUGUCAGUCGCCAUCUACUUGUCUUUUGCAAAAGCUAGCAAAUAAAACAUAAUCGAGCAAAAAAACUCCACAAAUCUCCACUGCCAUACCAUACAUUCUACACAGGAGAGCCAUGACAUGCUUAUGAGGGAAAUGUUGAGUGUAAACUCCUUAUUCUCCCAUAUGACAUGUAUGUGUUAUUAUGUGUAUCUAUAUCUAUCUAUCUAUCUAUCUAUCUAUCUAUAUAUCUGUAUAUACUUUAACAGUAAAAUAUAGUAACAAUUCUGAUGAGCUUGUUACAUCUUUUUAAACUUCAUUCUCCCAUAUUAUCUCCUGCCUGACUAUAGCUUGGGAAGGUGAGUGACAGCAUUAUAGUCCCUGUUUGUUUAGGAGGAAACUGGUAUUCAGAGGAUUAUAAUUUGACUUAAAGACUUAGUCAUUAUUCCUUCAUUAGCUGAGGUGGGGGGAGGGUGGGGGAGGGAUCCCACAAUUAGAAUCUUGGAGUCUUCCAAACCAGGACCUCUCAAAAUAUCUGUAGCGAAAGACCAGUUUCCCGCCCACUCCCCAUCUGUCACCAGCCAUUAUCUUUAAAUAAUAUAAGAUAAAUGAACUGCCAGAAAAAUGAACAAAAAUAUAUGCAAGAAACAAAUCCAAAUGUUAAUUAUUAGAUGGGGCCGCCAUGGAAGGACUUGCACAAAUGGCUCAAGAGUUUCUGAAAUGGUUCUCCUCCAUGGGCUUGCCGGUUUGAAGGGUAACAAGCAUCAAAAGGACCAGCUCCAGUGCCUGGACCCCACGUUGAGGAUGGGCUGCGUCAAGCAUGACGUAUCCCUUCUGAGAUCCUCCUGCUCAUGCAGACAUCUGCCGCCUAAGUGGCCAUGUCUACCCUCAGGUGAUCUCCUGCCACCAUUUACACCUGAUGGCGCUGGAACCUAAGGGUAGGCUGGCCCGCCAUCUAUGGCCAGACUUGAAAUGAUGAGCUGGGCCCAUCAGGGUCUUUGUGUGUGUGUGUUUGUUUUUGGUGCCUGGAAUUAGAUCUACAAAGUGAAGAAAGGGUUUUCUAAGACCUCCCGAGGUUCUGUUCAUGCUUCCAUUCUGAGCGAGCUGCAACUCUGGGUGAGCUGUAAACGCUGGGCUGGGCAGGGACAAAAGUGGAAGAUGGAUCAUUAAAGGUCCAACCGCUGCUUGGGCUGCGGCAUAAAAAACUGCAUAACUCUAGAAUUACCUUCCGAGUCCCAUAUCCCUUAGCCCCAGGCUUGAAACUGCCUUCUCUUUGAAUGUCCUAAGAUAUAGAUCCCAUUAUUUCUUGCAGUGUGUAAAUAUACUCUAGCUGGCAUAAAUGGGUCUCUGAAUUAUUCAAGAAACUUAGCUUAUCUGAGAUAGAGCUGAAGGCUUUCCCCAUUAUACCAAAUAAGCUUGUGUCAGAAACAAUUGAUGCCAUAGUUGAAAGACGUUAGCACCCUCAACGCCAGUUGGGCUCUCGGUCUGUGAUGAGAAGGGAAGUCGAAUUAGGUGUGUCUGGUGGGACUGCUUGCUACCAAACACCUCUCUCCUAUGACCUACUAUCUACUCUUCUACUUCUUUGAAAAUGGUUGAUUACAUUUUCCAGUUAAGUCUAGUCUGAUUCUGCUUAAGGAGGGAAUCCCUUGAAGUGAUACCAAAUUGCCUCACCUAGCAAAGCCUGCAUACCUCACCUGCCCUCGGUCUGCCUACCCGUUGGCAGAGCUCCAUGGUCUGACGGACCACACCUGUGCUUGCAGUUUGUACUAAACCAGACCCGUAGCAUGUGCUAGUGGCUUCCGGAACCACCCCAGAAAUCCAAGGUGGGGGUGUGAGAUGAAGGGCACAGUGAUCCUCAAAACACGUUUUAUUGCCCUGACACUUGUGGGUUGUUUUAUAAAUCAAGUGUUCAAGAUUAUGUUUAACCCCUCAGCUAUACUAAAAUAGCAUCCUUGCUUUGUAGUAAAGAUGUAUCUUUUAGUGUAAACAUUUCCUUGAUGAUUCCCCAGUACAUUCUAAAUGUUAAGAUGACAGACUCUGGAAUUAGGUCUACUCAGUGAAGAAAGGAUUUUCUACCAUCUCCCAAGGUUCUGUGCAUGCUUACAUUGGGAGCUGCAUUCAGUGGCCAUGUCAGAGGCUGACGACACGGGGGCUUAGAUUACAGUGAGCCCCAGGGACUCUUACUGAGCCCGGAGGACACAGAACUAAGAGAUGUGCCUCUGAGUCACAGGAGGGAAGGGCUGUUGGAUGGAUCUGUGCAGGGGUUUAUGUUGUUGUAUCGGGUGACGGGUAGCCCCAGUUCUCAGGAGGGUCCCAAUAGCCUGCUUUCUAAAGCUGGAGAUUAGGGCAACCACGGUGACCAGCACAGCAAUGCUCCGGCAGAGACGACAGGUCAGGCCUGGCAAAAUGUGGGGGUUAGGCUCUGUGCCUGGGGACCCAUCUGUCUGAUACAAGUAUAAUAAGGCAAUUAAUGUACUUAUUUAUAUUGCUCGUGACAAACCACAUAUUCCCCCAAAACGGUCAAUGUAAACCUUCUCCAUGGUUCUCUAGAAAUGAGAGUUCCUAUAAAAAUAUAAAGCAAGGUUCAAUAAUGAAACGGCUGCUUACAUACAUAAGGCUUUGAGGAGUGAUAGUAGUCUACUAUUUUUGAAAAAACCAAAACUAUUAAAUACAACAUCUUGACAAAAGAGUGAUGAUAGGAAGGGCCUGUAAAAUCGACGUUUACGUUGCUAGUUCACGUGGGGAGCACUCCAUGUGUUUAUUCAUUAGGAUGAAUUUCAUAACCUAAACAUAAAAUGAGGCCCAGAAAGAUGAUGAGAACGUGGAGAGGAAGAAAUGCCAGAGCGCGUGCCUUGCCUUUUCCCUGGAUGUUGUGUUCGCAGCCCCGUCGUUAUUAGAGCUUUCGUUCGCACUUGGUGACGAAUCCCCACUCCUCUGUACAUUUCUUUAUUACGUACGUACUUCGCCUUCUCACCACUUCUGCUCUACAAUCUGUUGAAACCAGGGUAUGUUUGGGUUUACGCUUCAUCCGUGAUCCUUGUUUUCACAGAGCAAGUAAAUGAUCGUAAACGUUUAAAAGUCGUUUUACUGGUUGACAAUAAUCUAGCCCAGAAUGAUGAAUGGUAUGAGAUUUAGGACCGUCUGAAGUUUUACGCGAAAGAACGAACCCCCUCGCCCAUAUUUGCUCUCAAUAAAGUGAAUGCUCUCAGUGACCAUGUUGCAUACGUGAAGCUCACACCUUAUGGCAGCACCAGUAUCUGAAGAGAAACGACAUGCAAGUCCCUGGAGAGGAAGAAGGCGAGUUCUUUCCCUGCCCGGGAACGCCGGUCUGAGUGUCAUGGCCCGGCUGCUCCCUCUGUCGGCUCCGGGUGAAACUGCACAAGGACCGCCAUUGGAAGAGUGAAGGGAACCCUUUGACCUCGGAAAGAGCAAGAAAAUCAAGACGGCGCCGAGUGUUGCCAUGGAGCCACAGGAAUAACCCAUCAAACAGGAGAAGUACAUAUACGUGAAAAAUGUUGCUGGGCAUCCACUCCCUUCAAUUCAGCUGUUCAAUAAAAUUAUGGAAAUUCUAAUGAGUUUGAAAACUCUCCUUUGCUCUGGCUUGUACUAACAUGCACAGGGUCCUCCUCACAGACAUCAAGUGAUGGUCUCAUCAGCAUAAAAUAAUGUUGGAUUUCACGUGUUCUCCAGGCAUCACCCUUACUCCCAUCUCAGACCCUCGGUAUUUAUUUCUCCCAUAAUUCCUCUUUGUCUUGUGUAAUUGAUCAGCCACGCAUACAAUACGAGGUAAGUACUAUCAUUAUCCCCGUUUGCAGAUGAGAAUCCUCUGGUGUGGAGUAGUUAUAUAAUUCUUAAAAUGUGAACCCACCUUGUUUUAGUAAUUAGACUUCUACCCAUCUAUCUACUUGUUCAAACAAGGAAUGCCAAGGAAUGCCAGCGUGUGGAAGAACUAAAGAGCAGAAGUGUGAAAAGGGAUGCUAUAAGGUAAGGAAAAAAAAACUGGAUGAAAAGGGGGAAAAAAGCAGCAAACAAUAGGCAACAGCAAUAAAUGUGUUGGGGGCCACUAUACAGAUUUAAGGUGACAGGCGGCAAUGGAAUAUGGAUAGGAAGCAGCAUGAGCAAAAAAUUGCAGAAGAUCCAGGUAAACACGGAGAGAGAAGACUCUAGUAAUGGGAAGAAUAAAGGUGUUCUUGGCCUCUAACAUGAGGUGGUUGCAGAAUUCCAAGAGAGUACCUUCUGUAUUAGUUUCCAAAGCAAAAUAAAGAAGCAUCU